CCCGACCAGGCAGGGCCUCAGGCAGUCUGUAGUUUCCAUUCUGAUGAUCAACCUGUUUUUCUCUCCUGCUAAUUUUACCUCCUUAGAGGAAAUUGCUUUUCUUUCUGAUGUUAUUGUACGUGCAGCUAAAUUUCAUGAAACAUGGGACCUACAGGUACCAUUCCACAAGCUUCCCACAAUAAGUUGGGUGAAUUGUGGCCCAUUCCUCCUGACAGAGCUGGUGUAAUUGAGUCAGUGCACCAGCCCCUCCUGCAGCAAAGCACCCCCACAACAUGAUGCUGCCACCCCCGUGCUUCACGGUUAGGAUGGUGUUCUUCGGCUUGCAAGUGUAGCAGUGUGAUGUUGUUAAUUAUUCACCAAGUUGCACACAAUGACCAGUUCAAAUAGGCCAGGUCAAGAGGGGAUGUUAAUAAUUUGAUAAUAAUAAUAAUAGUGAUUUUUUUUUUAAUGUAAUUACAGCUGCAUAGCUAAUGUUACUUUUUUUUGUAGAAACACUUUUUCACAUCUAUAUUGUAAAUACACUUGAUUGUAAAACUUUUGUAGAUUUUGGUUUGGUCAAUUGUGGGUUAUCUUUAUUUCUGUACCCCCCUAUUGUUCUCUCUUGCCUGACCGUCAGCUAGUGAGGUAUGUUGUCCUUGGCUCUGCAGUUUUUCAAUAUAAAACCAUAAGUUUUGUUACAAUGUGGACAAUAUAAAUAUUUAUGUUAACAAGUUUUACCGAGCUCGCUAACUAGGGUACCUAUUGUAACUUGUGGGUACUUGGGACAGUGUUUGAGGGAGUUUCCAUGUGCUCGCACAGGUGCCUGAGAGCUGUGACUGCGCCAAGUGCUAACGUAUUGUGCGUUGUAUAUUCGUGCGCAGCUAGCGAGGUGCCUGCGAGCUGUGACUGCGCCAAGGGCUAACAUAUUGUGCAUUGUCUCUUCGUGUGCAGGGCAAAUAAAAAUCAAAAAAGCAGACCUUCAGUUGUGGCAGUGUCCUUAUUACAUUAUACAAUGCAGAACGAACCAUGCUACACAAGCCUCCCCCUUAUUCUUCCAAACAUAACGAUGGUCAUUAUGGACAAAAGAUUUUUGUUUCAUCAGACCAGAGGACAUUUCUCCAAAAAGAACGAUCUUUGGCCCCAUGUGCAGUUGCAAACUGUAGUCUGGCUUUUUUAUGGCUGUUUUGGAGCAGUGUCUUCUUCCUUGCUGAGUGGCCUUUCAGGUUAUGUCGCUAUAGGACUCGUUUUACUGUCAAUUUGUAACGGCUGUCUUCGGGUAGAGAGGACCAAAACGCAGCAGGAAUGUGGAUGCACAUCUUGAAU
rnacentral:lncRNA from 1 species